CCAGCUCCAUGAUGACUGGCUCCAGACGAUGCACCAAGUCUUCGUAAGACUGGACGACACACAGAGAAGUAACGUCAGCUUCGAGAAUUCCGUCUGUGAUUCGGAAAGAGGGCGAGGAAACUCUGAGGCUUAGUCUGGAGAGGAGACGAGCACAGCUGAACAACAUCGGCGGGGCUGAUCUAACAGAGGCUAAAACCAAAACAGCUCGUGUUUGUGGUAAUCAUUUUAUCUCAGCUCACAGGAGCGCCAGCAAAUUAUAUGAUAGAAACAAUCCAGACUGGGCACCCACUCAGAACAUGGGCUAUGUUUCGUCCAAGGUUGGACUUGUUUCUUCGGCAGCUGAACCAGAUGGAACGCGAUGUCUGGGUACUCGAUGGUCGGUAGAAGCACCUUAUCUUCAGAAAAGUCUGAUUUUUUAAAUAAUAUGGGUCAAAACUACACAUAUCUAUCUUCUCUUUGUAUUGAAUCUUCACUCGACCGUUCAAAUCAUGGUAAUACUGAGAAGAUUCAUCACUGUUUACAGACACGCUUUCAGCGACUGCCAUCCUAGUUGCUUUGUACA